rnacentral:rRNA from 1 species
ACUCAAGAAAAGGAUUUUAGUCCAACUCAAAGUUAAUCCAGUAUACUUAAACACAAAUUUAACUUUGAAGUAAUUCAAAUAAGGUACAGCUUAUUUGAAACAGAACACAGCCUUUAACACCGGGUAACAACCCCCACAGAACUAAGUUGGCUUAAAACCAGCCAUCUUUAAAAAAACGUCAAAGUUUAAUUUUCAACAAAACAAAAUAACCCUUCAGUAAUACUGAGUGUUUCUAUACUGAUAUAGAACUUUUUAUGUUAAAACUAGUAACAAGAAGCCCAACUUCUCUUGCAUAUAAAUGUAAACCAGCAAGAAUCACCCCCUGGUGCUCAACAGUCAUGAAUACCUAGUAAUAACUACACAAGAAAAUUUUACUAAACUCUCUGUUAACCUGACACAAGUAUAUCCAAAGAAAGAUUAAAAGAAAAAGAAGGAACUCGGCAAACAUUGAUUCCGCCUGUUUACCAAAAACAUCGCCUCUUGUAAGCCUAUAAGAGGUCCAGCCUGCCCAGUGACUUUGUUCAACGGCCGCGGUACCCUGACCGUGCAAAGGUAGCACAAUCACUUGCCUUUUAAAUAGAGGCUGGUAUGAAAGGCACCACGAGAAUCUAACUGUCUCCCUCUUCUAAUCAGUGAAACUAAUCCCCCUGUGAAAAAGCAGAGAUUAUAACGCAAGACGAGAAGACCCUAUGGAGCUUUAAACUAAAUAACACCCACACCCCCCCCCCCCAUUUUCAGAAAACCAAUUUCAAGAGUGGGCUGAUUACAAGUUUUUGGUUGGGGCGACCGCGGAGCAAAACUCACCCUCCACAAUGAAAAGGCAUAAACCUUAAACCAAUAGCCACAACUUAAAGAAUUAAUAAAUUGACAUUACUGACCCAAUACUUUGAUCAACGAACCAAGUUACCCUAGGGAUAACAGCGCAAUCCGCUCCAAGAGCACAUAUCGACAAGCGGGUUUACGACCUCGAUGUUGGAUCAGGAUACCCUAGUGGUG